rnacentral:lncRNA from 1 species
CAAAUGUCAGAAUGAAGAUUGUUCACCACACCUGGCAUGUAUGAUGGCAAGGAAGAUUAAUUCUUCACAAGCCAAUUUGAUGAGUGUUAAGACUUUUUGAGAUUUUUGGCAUUAUAUAUUAUUAGAGCUCUCCCUCCUGAGAGAUAUCUCAUUAAAUUUCAGUAGAGCUCUCCCAAUAAUUGCAAGCUUUCAUUUGUUUGUAAAAUCAUCUUCUUAUAUUCAUUGUGUUUCCUUGUGUUAUCAGGUAGAGUAUCAUCUUCAAGGGUUUCAAAAACUCUUUGCAGUAAAGUUUCAACCAAUUGCUGUGAAGAGGCAUAUUCAUUUGAGUAAUUCAGUUUCAGAUUUUCAGGGCGUGUAUGUUUAAUUAGUUUUGAUUAAAAUAUUUAGUCACUCAUUCUGAAUCUUUUCUAAUUUUCAAGUUCCUUAUGGCCACAACCAGUUUUUCAGGUCCGCAGGAACUAUCUUGAGCAUUGAGGAAUUGCGUUUGGGCACACACAGAAACAAGGCUAAUGGAAAAGAACUUGACAGAAGAAUUAUGCUCUAAAUCUAACAAAAGUAUAUUUCUACUUCUUUUGGUUAUUUUACUUUUGUGUUUUCUGUCAUCAUAUUUGAUCGAUUCGUUCGAAUUCGGACUCUUUCUCAUCAUUUAAAACCUUUUUCAGGUGGCUUGCACGCUAAUUAAGUUAACGCAGAAGCAAUACUCUAGACAAAGAUGAGCAAAUUGAAUAUGAUAAAUGCAUAUAUAGUGGCU